rnacentral:lncRNA from 1 species
UCACUUCACUAAAAAAACUCCACAUAUGCUCCUCUCUCUCUCUCUCUCUCUCUCUCAUGUUUUUUAUGUCCACCUAUCUCAUACAACGCCUAGCUACUACAAUAUUUCACACACCUCCACCAUCAUUUCCACCUACGAUCUUAAUCAUUCAAGCACAUCAUUUUCAUUUGGAGUCUACAGGUAAGAAUCGUUUUGUUAUCCGUUCAUUUAAUUCUUUCAUCUAUUAAUAAUGUAGAUUAUUUAUCUUAAAUUUUCUCUUCUUUGAAAGUGAUACUAAAAUCCCUUUCAUAUCAUACCAAUAUUGUGAAAAGUUUUAUCGUGCCUAGUUCGAAAAAUGACUAAAAACAAAAUCGACUCAUUUGAUUUUUCUCAAGAACCAAAACUAGAGGUAUUAAAUUUAAAUGAUACUUACAUGAUUUCUUUUAACUUGUGCAGUGAGGUGUUCUUUGCUAUGCAUAUACCCUUGGAUAUACAAGAUAGAAACUGUGAUGAGUAGGUGAAAAGAGAGAGUUAUCCAGAGGAGCGUGCGAAGAGAUACUUUGACGUGGUGGUGUUAGAUGAGUUUUUUUUUUUUUUUUUAUGAUCUCAAAACAUGUAAACACAAAUUAUUUUUACAAAUAUGUUUUAGGUGUACUGGUUGUUAGAGAAACAUGGACUAAGAUCUUCAUUGUUAGAUCCUAGCCUGUUGUGAUUUAAAUAGACAAACAAUUAUAGGAGUGAACUAGAAAAGUGGAGUAAACUAGUGAACAUGUCUUUGAGAUUAGUGUUCACUUUUCACUUCACUUUCGUUCACUUUAUCUUUUAGAUAUAUAUGCAUGACUACUGUUGUAAAUCUGAGAGAGAGAGAGAGAGAGAGAGAGAGAGAGAGAGAGAGAGAGAGAGAGAGAGAGAGAGAGAGAGAGAGAGAGAGAGAGAGAGAGAGAGAGUACGUACCCGUACAUAUACCUAUCUUUUUUAAUCAUCUUCUUACACCAGCGACAAGCUUGUAGGAAUCACCAAGAAACCUUGAUGCUAUCCUUCUCGUUGUAGCAUCUGAGGUGGAAAAACCCAACGAGAAUAAUUGUGUACCUUAUAGCGCCAAAAUAAUGUCUUAGAUUAGAUUUUGAACAAUUCUUUGAUAACAAACAAUAUGAUUACAAGCAUUUACACCAGCAGAAGCCCUUUAGAAAAAUUUAUGAUUGUGAUUUAUAAAAGCGGCGCCGUUUGAGAUUGGUAUCUACUUGAGUUGAAGAUUGAAGAAUCAUUCAAUACGCAACUCCAAUCGAUACCAAUUCUAAACGACUCCUCUUUUAUCCGUCAAAAUCACAGACUUUUCUAGAGGGUUUAUUUGCAGUUGCCAAUGCUUGUAAUCAUAUUGCUUAAGAUAAAAAAAAAAUCAUUCAAAAUCCAAUCUCAGCCAUUGUUAAGGCUCCACAUGGUAAGAAACUAUUCUUGUUGGAAUUGUAUGCCUCAGAUUCUGUAACCAAAACGACAUCAUCAAUUUUUCUUGGGGGAUUCCUACAAGCUUGACGGUGGUGCAAGAAGAAGAUUGAAGAAGAGAGGUAUAUGUAUGGGUAUGUAUUGUUUCUCUUAUUUCGAUAUUUCAUAGAUUUACAACGUUUAUUAUGCAUAUAUCUAAAAGGUGAAGUGAACAAUGUGAAGUGAUAAGUGAACGAUAAUAUCAAAGAUACACAUGAUAAAUAUUAGUUCACUCCACUUUUCUAGUACAUUCCACAUUAUCUUUUUGUGUAGAUGAUAUCUGGUUGGUUACAAGCAUUUUAGAGGGCUAGAAUGCAUACAAGAACAUGUCCUGCGAAUCUGCUAAAAAAUGGACUAUUUUAAGAUAAUAUUUUGUAUAGACAUAAUUCUUAUUGUUUUUUUUUUUUGGUCAGGCAAUUCUUAUUGGUUUUAUUUGGUAGUUAUUCCUCUUUUGAUAUAUAAUAUAUCCCAUACAAAUAUAUUAAAAGGAUACAUCACUUUGGGUUUGAUUUUUUCUUCCAUUUUUACCCUUCAUUUAAAAUAUUUUAUUUACUAUUAUAUUCUUUUUAUAAUAUUAUUUAAAUUAUUACGUAAUAAAAGAGGUAGAUUACAUUAAAAUAGGAACAACUCCCUACAAUAGGAAUGAUUUUGGACACUAAAAACAUGGCUUCUUUUAAUUUAUCUGUCCAAAAUAUUUAAUCAUAAAAUAUGUUAAAUUUGAUAUUUCUUCAUUUUUUUCUUCCAAGUUUACCUUCACUUAAUUUGUUUCCCAUGGCAUCAUUACUUAUCCAUUAUAUAACUUAAUUUUGAUUUUUUUUACUAAAACACUGUAAAAGAAAAACAUGUGCUUAGGUGGUGAUUAUCUAGUAUUAAACACCUUAUCCCUACCAUCCUCCACCAACUACCAACACAAUCACCAUUUCAACCCCAUCCAUCGCCACAAACCCGUCCUCAUACCUUGGACUUGCUUACAAUCACAACCAAAUCCACCCAUUCCAUCUUCAUCUACAGAGAAUCUUGCACCACAUAUCCAACAAGAAACCUUUUCUCAAGCUUUGUGAUAAUGGAUAUGAAAGAAUACUGUUUUGCACUGAUAUUGUUAGGAAGACCAUUUCUGGCCACAACCAUGUCCUUCAUAAAUGUGGAUUAAGGAGAAAUAGAGAUAUACAAAGUGGGAGAGAGUAUGCAAAUAGGUCAAGAAUGAACUAUUUAUAAUCAUUUACAAUAGAGGGCUAGCUUACCCUCGAAGUUCAGGAACUCGUUAACUAUCCGGGCUUGCUGCGGAAAAUACUCAUUAUAAUCACCACCUCUUUUCUGUAUAGCAUAAUUAGUGAGACUAUGAGCCAAAUAUUGAAUCCACUUUUCUACUAUAUUUAUUUUUAUAUUAGCAUUUCAUAUUAUUGCUAUUUUUGUUCGAAUUUGCGGUCAUUUUCUAUAGAGUAUUGGUCAUGUUAUACUAUACUAGUAAAAAAAGUUGGUAACUUGAGCCUUACAAACUAUUAUUAUUAUUAUUUGCUAACCCCUUUGAGCCUCCAUGCAAUAAUUUAUUUUGUUAUCACUAAGUGACAAAUCAUGUCAUAAGUUUUUAACCUUAAUGUCACCUAUUUGAUUUCUUUUGGAGUUGGAUAUAAUAUUUUUAAUAAAUUGGUAUGAUUUGAAAUUAAGUUUGAGUUUGCUCUUUGAAAUUAGCAAUAUUUUAAGUUUUUGGUGAGGUAUCAGUAGAACUUAUUUAUCAAAAAUGAAAAAAUGUAGAUAAAACCAUAUAAAAAUAUGGGUUUACACAAAAAAAAUAUAUAUAUAUAAUCAAGAGUCAAAAACAUCAAAAUUUUGGUCUCUUAAAAAAAAUGUAUUUAUCUUCAAAAAUGAAAGAUAAAGAGUUCUACUUAAUUAAUACCCACAUUGUUUUGGUUUAAGGAAGGAAAGUUUGAAAUGCUUCAAUAUUUAGUAGGAAUCUAUAUGUUGGAAAUCUAACUUCAAGUUGUGUUGUUAGCCUACUUUUUCAAAUAUAUCUCACCUUGUCUAAGCAAAUAUAUAACUCUAUUUAUGACAGAUUCAACUUGUGGCUUUUCAUUAUCUCUAGCAACUUGAGAAAGCAUAGUCCUUUCAAUGCUUCAACUGUCAAUGUCAAUGAGUCAAUGCUGACCUAUGAAGUACAUACGCUUCUCGGCUUAGACGUGCCCCAUGGUAAGAUAUGCGUGGUGUUCGACACCGACACAUAUUAUUACAUUGAAUUAUGUGAUUUUCUUAAAUUAUUAUUUAGGUCGGUAUGUCAGUGUCCGGUGUCCGUGUCUGUGCUUAAUAGAUGCUAACACAGAUGGUGAUAUGCAGGUUUUGGAUAGCAUGAAGGUUAAUGAUUACAUUUGGGAGUACCUUGAGUUUGGAGUGGUGAUGAAAGCAUAUAGUGUCUUUACAGAUGCAAGGUUUACUAAGAUCUCACCUGGAAAGUAAAUUAACUCAUCAUUCUUCAAGAAAUGUAGUGUUUCAAGACUAUCAAAUUUCUGAAUUGAUCUUAGUAAAUCUUGAUUGUAUUUCCAUUCUAUUUACAAACCAAUGCUUUGUUCUAUACAAGUUCAGUUCAGUAACACCGCUUGAUAUAUUCAAAGACUCAAAUGAUUGUUUACUCAUUAUGUAUUUACAUAUCUUGAAAUAUAAAUAAAUACCAAAUAAAACUAAUAAGAGUUUUGUCAUGAGGUGUCUAUACAAAGCAUUAUAGUAAAAUAGUUCAUUAAAGACAAGUUUAGAGACACAUCUUUAUCAGUGCAGGGUAGUGUGUACCUGAUAAAUGGAGUCAUCCGCCGAUUAAUGGUGCACCCUAUACGGAGGACCCUGCGAAACAUGUAUAGGCCCCAUAACAUCGACCACCACGUCCACCAUAUCCUACUUUCCUACUUUCUAUUUCAAUACGCUGAACAUGGGCUAUUUUUAACCAGUCCUCGCCUAUUUCCUUUUGGCAUCGCUUCUCUAUUUGAGGGCAGCAUUGAAUACACAAUCUUUUUAGACUGCUAAGAUAUCGGAUGCUCGCCGGAAGACAGCUCAAAUUAGGACACACAAGAAUAAUUAAUUCCUGAAGUAAGGAAAGGUUUCCCAAACAGUCAGGCAAAUAUUCUAGUUUUGGAAGUUCAGACAAUAUUAUGCAUUGCAGAGAAGUCAUAUGUUGCAAAGCCUCGUGCAAACUUUCUACUUCCGGACAACUAGCAAUCACCAAUGUCUCUAGACAAGUUAGGUAUUGAAAACCUUCUGACAGAUUAAACUUGUGGCACUUCACUAUCUCUAGCAACUUGAGAGAGGAUAGUCCUUUCAAUACUUCAUCUGUCAAUGACUCAAUAGUGACACAGUUGGUAAUAUACAGGUGUUGGAGAGAAUGAAGGUCAAUGAUUUCAUUUGGGAGUACCUCGAGUUUGGAGUGGUGAUGAAAGCCUAAUGUCCUUACAGAUGCAAGGUUUAGUAAGAUCUCAUCUGGAAAGUAAGUUAACUCAUCAUUCUUCAAAAAAUGCAGCGUUUCAA